AUGAGAUGCUACAACUGGCUGUUUAUCUCUGUACAACUACGGAUCAUGAGAUUAGAAGCAGUGGAUUGGCAUGCACCGCGUGAAUCACCACAAAUAAGGGAACUACGGGAGCUUGUUAGAGAGGCGUCAGUUGACUGGCGACCGACCCGUGGCUGCCCCUCUUCUCCCAUUUCUGGAAACUCCCCCGUCGACCUGAAUUUUAGCAACUCCAACUUCGGGCGCCCUCCACCCUUGCCUGGCUACAGAUCUCGCAGCUGUGAUCAUUUGGUGCCGACACAGACACCGAUCGCUCGUGUUCAGGUUAGUGGGUUGAUGGUACCGGCUAGCGUUGUCGAGAGCCAGAUCGCAAGGAGAUGCCCGGUACAUGAUCAAUGGAAGUGGGAGGCUAUUCAACAUGGGUUCGAUGCUUACCUUGUUAGCUUUCCAUCCUUCGAGGAUUUGGACAGGGUCGAUGGAAUUCAGAUGAACGUGCCGUCGGUUAAUGCCCAGAUGACUGUCACAACAUGGAGAUCACAGGAGGUCCCACAUAAGUUGGAGCUUCAGCAGAUUUGGCUUCAUGUUGAGGGUGUUCCUCAUACAGUGCACCAUUUUUGGGGGCUAUGGGCCAUUGGUACUUUGAUGGGAAAGACCUUAGAUGUGGAUCUCAUUAGCCUUCGACGCCGUGGUGUUGUCCGGAUUCUCUUGGCUAUGACCAACUCUCAGAUUUUGUCUAAAGACAAAGAUACUGCGUGGCCUUUUGUUGCAACCGAUGUGCUGGUUAAGCUCAAGGGCUACGCCUUCACGUUCAGGAGGGAGCCAGCAGGAUACAUUCCGGAUCCUGACUUUGUCCCGUAUAUCUGGAAACGCAAGGGUGGUGAUGCUGACGAUGAGAGCGGCGCCAAGGAGAAGGGCGAUGAGAUGGACACCUCAGAACACCCAUCCAACCAUCCGUCGUCUAGUGCUGCUCCGGCGAAUAACAUUAAUGUGUCUCAUGGUCUGUCGAGUGGGGGCUCUGGUGGUGCGACGGGAGGUGGUUCUGUGCUCUUGGCUGUCACUCCAUUUAACUCCUCGUCGCAGACGUCGAGAGGCAUGGAGCAUGCCGCGGCUACGUCGCCGUUCGCUGCCCUCCAGGCGAUGCAGGCCACCGGCGGCUCGGCAGGGCACUCGGUCUCUCCUUCUGAUAAUGUGCAAAGAGCUUCUGAGGUGGCGUCGCAGCCGCCGUCGAUGACACGGACGACGUCGUCGAACUGUACCCAAUCAGGUGCAGGAAGCCGGAGGUACUGCGGGGCGCCCCGGUGCGCGUUUGAAGAGCUGGCAUCCAGAGGCUGGAGAUGA
rnacentral:rRNA from 1 species